rnacentral:lncRNA from 1 species
CUGCCACUACACCCAACCCUAUAAGGGCUUUAUCUUCCCAGCCCAGCCUUGCCCCAGUAUCUGAAGCACUGCUGCAGCCACACUGUUAGCUUGAUGUAAGAACAGGUCCAGCCUGGGCGUGAGGCUGGUUUUCUGAGUUUGGUUUGCUUGGGUUUUGGUUUUGAAUGGGAGUUGAUUGACUGAUUUUUAUUUUUUUAUUUUAUUUUAUUUUUUUGAGACAGGGUUUCUGUGUAGCCCUGGGUAUUCUGGAAUUUAAUUUGCUCUGUAGACCAAGCUGACCUCAAACUCACCGAGAUCCACCUGCCUCUCCCUUCUGAGUGCUGGGAUAAAAGGAAGAAUUCAACGACUAUGAGGCCAAUGACCCCUGGGUACAGCAGUUCAUCCUCAGCCUAGAACAGCAGAUGGCAGAGUUCAAGGUGAGUGUUUGUGGGAUUGCCCAUUCUGCCCUCACCAGCAUCCUGUGGCCUGCCACUCUUGCUGUAGAGCCAAAGGCCAUACUGAGUGGCGGCCCGUGGAGACACUGCCUCUUCACGAACUGUCUCACUGGAAGACCCUCCGUGUUAAAGGCAGAGGAGCCUGACAGGACUCCGGCUGAUAGAAGCUUUUGUGCAGGCCAGCCUGUCCCCGGUCAUCUAUGACAGCCUAACUGGCCUCAUGACCAGCCUUGUUGCUGUUGAACUGGAAAAAGUGGUUCUGAAAUCCACCUUCAACAGGCUAGGUGGUCUGCAGUUUGACAAGGAACUCCGGUCACUCAUUGCUUACCUUACCACUGUGACCACCUGGACCAUCCGAGACAAGUUCGCCCGGCUCUCCCAGAUGGCUACAAUCCUUAAUCUAG